rnacentral:sRNA from 1 species
UGUCCUCGUGGCCCGACGCUCUCAAAAG